AGAGUUUGAUCCUGGCUCAGAUUGAACGCUGGCGGCAUGCUUUACACAUGCAAGUCGAACGGCAGCACAGAGAAGCUUGCUUCUUGGGUGGCGAGUGGCGAACGGGUGAGUAAUAUAUCGGAACGUACCGAGUAAUGGGGGAUAACUAAUCGAAAGAUUAGCUAAUACCGCAUAUUCUCUGAGGAGGAAAGCAGGGGACCUUCGGGCCUUGCGUUAUUCGAGCGGCCGAUAUCUGAUUAGCUAGUUGGUGGGGUAAAGGCCUACCAAGGCGACGAUCAGUAGCGGGUCUGAGAGGAUGAUCCGCCACACUGGGACUGAGACACGGCCCAGACUCCUACGGGAGGCAGCAGUGGGGAAUUUUGGACAAUGGGCGCAAGCCUGAUCCAGCCAUGCCGCGUGUCUGAAGAAGGCCUUCGGGUUGUAAAGGACUUUUGUCAGGGAAGAAAAGGAUAGGGUUAAUACCCCUGUCUGAUGACGGUACCUGAAGAAUAAGCACCGGCUAACUACGUGCCAGCAGCCGCGGUAAUACGUAGGGUGCGAGCGUUAAUCGGAAUUACUGGGCGUAAAGCGAGCGCAGACGGUUACUUAAGCAGGAUGUGAAAUCCCCGGGCUCAACCUGGGAACUGCGUUCUGAACUGGGUGACUAGAGUGUGUCAGAGGGAGGUAGAAUUCCACGUGUAGCAGUGAAAUGCGUAGAGAUGUGGAGGAAUACCGAUGGCGAAGGCAGCCUCCUGGGAUAACACUGACGUUCAUGCUCGAAAGCGUGGGUAGCAAACAGGAUUAGAUACCCUGGUAGUCCACGCCCUAAACGAUGUCAAUUAGCUGUUGGGCAACUUGAUUGCUUAGUAGCGUAGCUAACGCGUGAAAUUGACCGCCUGGGGAGUACGGUCGCAAGAUUAAAACUCAAAGGAAUUGACGGGGACC
rnacentral:rRNA from 1 species